ensembl:lncRNA
AUGGCCAAACACUGGAACAAACAACAAGAUUACCGAAACACAGGAGUACAACCAGCUGCUGCCAUUGCUGCUGAAAACACCCGCUGCUGCCGCUUCCCUUGUCAGUUCCACUGCGAGGUGAAGAGGGAACCGAACCAAAAAUUUCUCUUUGAUGUCAGAAGCAGAAAGUCCCUAAUGAAAGCACUUACGUCGGGGAACUGCGGCCUGACCUCCACCCCUCCCGGAGGGUCAGCCAAAUGCUUUCAGCAAACACCUUCCAUCUGCUCCCGCGGCACAGCUGCUGAGACGCUCAGGCCACAGGCGCUGGCUGACGGCCGCGGUGCGGGGAGACGAGGCGGCAGGCAGGACACGGACAAGCUGAGCCCCAACGGGACCGGCUGCGCCGCUAAGCCGAGCGCUGAGGCCGUGAUGAGAGCUGGGGCAGGAGCGGGGACACCAAGGGAGGACCGCAGGGAGCAGGCAGGUGGGAGGCAGCUCGUUGCAACUUGCUCGCAAAGAGCACAAUCUGUUGAGCUCCAGCAAGUUGGUGCCUCGCUAAAGCUGCUUUCUCAGCAAGAUACCAGCAUCUCCCAGCGCUUCCAGUUCUGCCCCAUACCCCGCUUAGGGCUCCAGCAGCUGGAGGAGCCGGGGCAGGCUCAGACAGACCUCGCGCUGCAUCCAAAGCAGCUGCCUCCUGCAGCCUCCCCCCGGGCCGAGGCUGAGCUUCCCCUGCACGCAGCACCGCUUUCAGCUCGGGGCUGGGAGGCGGGAGGCAGUCGGAGCAGGCGGGGAGGCUGCGCUCACCUGGCUGCCGCGGGGUCGGCGAUGAGGCACUCGCAGCUCCCGCUCGCCUCUUCCAAGAGCCUCCCGCAUCAAAGUUUCCCUUCCUCCCCCUCCAUCAGCAGCCCUGCAGGGCCCAGGCAGAGCCUCUCUUCCCCUCCCUGCCUCUCUAAAUUUGCCUGGCUGCUGAACAUUUCUAUUCUAGGCAGGGACAGGCGAGAUGAGGGAAGCGAAGCACACGCAUCAGUCGGGUUGCGAACGACAUCAGUGCCAAGUUCUCUGCUAUAUAGCCGUUUCAGGCAGAGAACGCGUCUGAUGUGGUACUCCGAGCCAAGUAACAUGAUUUGCGAAAGAAACAGAAAGAAAUCCUCUUUAUGCAAAACCUCCAGGCGAUUCUCAGCUACCUGGGAACACAGGGGAAAGCAGGAAGAGCCCAUAUAA